rnacentral:rRNA from 2 species
AUCAAAAAUCUUGCUCAAAUAUUCUAAAAAGCAAAAAUGAAAGCCGAAGGUUUAUAAAAAUAAUUUAAAAAAGUGAAAGUUAAAGUAAAAUUUAUUGAAAUAAUAAAUAAGAGCUACAGCGAAAAGUACUGUAAAGGAAAGAUUAAAUAAAAUGAAAAUUCAAAAUAAAUUAAAGCAGUUAUUAACGAUUGUACCUUGUGUAUCAGGGAAUAUUUAACUAUAUUCUUUUAAUAAAGUAAAUCCCGAAAAAGAAAGAGCUAUCAUCGUAAAAAGUUAUCGUAUUAAAGAUAUUUUAAAUAUUAUGUUAGUAAUGAAAUGUUAAUCGAUUUUUUAUAUCUGGUUAUGGACGAAUUAAAUUUAAUUUGAAAGUAUAGUAAACAAAUAAUUAUACUUUAAAGAAAAGGAGGAAAAAGCUUCUUUUUCUACAAAUAAUUUUAAUGAGUUAAAAUAAAAGUAAUACAUUUAAAAUUAGGCUUAGAAGCAGUCAGAUUAGUAAAGCGUUUUAGCUAAUAAAUCUGAAAGUAAAUAUUUAUAUUUUGAACCUAUUAUAGUAGUUCAUAAACUGGUAGACUCAUAUUAUUAGUGCUAGAAUGAUAUUAUUAGUAGAUAUUACUGUUGUGUAUGAAGUGAUAAAUUUGAAUAUUUAUAACUUUAUAAAUAGUUUUAAAUGUAUAAUCAAGGAACUCGGCAAAAAUAGCUUUUGCCUGUUUAUCAAAAACAUGUCUGUGCGAAGGUAUGUAGAGUCUGGCCUGCCCACUGACUAAUAUUGUUUAAAGGGCCGCGGUAUUUUGACCGUGCGAAGGUAGCAUAAUCAUUAGUCUUUUAAUUAAAGGCUUGUAUGAAUGGUCGGACAAAAAGUAAGCUGUCUCCGGUUAUAAAAAUUGAAUUUGACUUUUAAGUGAAAAGGCUUAAAUAAAACAAAAUGACGAUAAGACCCUAUAAAGCUUUAAAGUGUAAUUUUUUAUUAAAAAUUAUGAAAUUGUAUAACUUAAUUUAAAUUAAAACUUUUUCGUUGGGGCGACGAAAAUAUAACAGCAUAACUGUUUUUACAUUAAUAAGACAGAUAUAUCUGGUUAUAAAUGAUCCUUUAUUAAAGAUUAAAAGUUUAAGUUACUUUAGGGAUAACAGCGUAAUCUUCUUUGAGAGUUCAUAUCGACAAGAAGGGUUGCGACCUCGAUGUUGAAUUAAGGUUCCUUUAUGGUGUAGCAGUUAUAACUGGAGGUCUGUUCGACCUUUAAACCCUUACAUGAUUUGAGUUCAGACCGGCGUAAGCCAGGUCGGUUUCUAUCUUUUGUAAAAUUUAAAAUUACUUUAGUACGAAAGGAUUAAGUAAUUGAAAUAAUUUUAAAAAUAAGAUUAAUUUUAAUUAAAUUGCCUUGGCAGAAUUAUGCAUUAGACUUAGGAUC